AGCAUGCGCAGAAUUACCCCACCGCACGAGCUGAUCAAGACUAAGAUGAAAAUUCAUGCCGGGUUAGUUUUUUCCCGGAACGUUCAAGAAACCGACACGAACGGAUUACAAUGAGUGAAUUACACCAUUAUAUCUCUUUAAAAAUAAAUAAAAAUAACGUGAGGAGUUAAAAUGGCGAGAAUAACUUAAAUUUAUAAGUUUAAGUGAAGUUAAAACCAAAAGAUCAAAUAUCAAAAUGGAAACUCAGCUCGGAACCUACUCUUUAUCAUCGGAUAAUAAGGGUAUACUUUCCUUACUCAGUGCAAUAGAGCAGUCGGAAGAUAUUGAUCCAGACGUUUCUCCGAGUAAGAUUGUUGACAAAGAUCCUCUGUCUGCUGUUAAUUUUCCACAGUUGCAGAGCCAUUUAAACCUGGACAGUUUGGAUAUGAAUGGAGAUCUUGUCUUGUCGAAUUUUAGUUCGUGUCUAAUAUGUGGAAGAACUCCUGGCAUUGAUAAUCAGAACGACUCCAUGGUGGAUAUUUUCUCUGAAAUAUCUAUUCCAGGUGAAAAGGGUUCUACUUCUAUACACACAGUAAUCGAGGAUAUUAUUCCCAUCCGGUUAGACAGCACUAGACCUCAAUCAUUCUCUUGUGUUGAGUGUUUUGCUGUGGUAGAUGCAAUCGCUAAACUCCGGGUUCAAAUUAAUGAAUACAUUUCUGUGAUAAAGACAAGGUAUGAAGAGUCAUGUCGAACCAAGUCAAAGUUUCCCUCCGUGUCAGAUUACACGUCAGUAUUAGAACUGAAAAUGCCUCUCAAUAUAUUUAAUGUUCGUGACGAGGAAGGUUUAACAAUGUCUCCGGUCAAAGAAUUCCAGAAGAAAUCUAAGCUUCAAAUCCUUGCUGAAACCCUAGAAGGAGAACAUCUGCCCAGAGAUAAACAGAUCUCUGAGGAGCCUGACGGAAAUCUUACUUUGAACAAAGAGAACAAGAUGUUAUGUAACCCAACAUGUGAUAAAUGUGGAAUUGAGUUCGAACCUGGACCUAGGCGUAACAAAACUUUGAAGACUAGGUGCAGCCCUUGCUCGAAGGUUGGGCGUUCCAAGAAAGUUUCAAAGACGCACGACUGUGCUUUUUGUAGCAAAUCUUUCAAGUGCAAGAGCAGUCUUAACGAACAUAUCCAGCUCAAGCAUUUCGGGAAUUCCAAAGUUCACCCUUGCAGUGUCUGUCAGGAGAAGUUUUCCUCCAAGCAUGCUAGAAUUAUUCAUGAAAGAAUACACAAGAACGGUACAAAGGAUUUGAUUUGUGACGAGUGUGGUGAUAGUUUUCUAACCUUUCAGUCCUUACAAUUUCACAGGAGUAAACACACUGGAGACUUCUCAUACAACUGCAGUUCAUGCGGGAAAGGAUUCAACAAUUUUAAACUAUUGGAAGAACAUUCUCAUAUACAUACUGGGCAGAAACCUUACGCUUGUUCAGAGUGCAAUAAAAGUUUUGCCAACCGUGGCAGCCUUUGGUUGCAUAAGAAAAAGCAUGAUGUUGUAAAACCGUACAUGUGCGACUACUGUAACAAAGUGUUCGGGCACUCUUCACACCUGGUUGUACAUAAACGUAUGCAUACUGGUGAAACACCGUACAAAUGCAGGUUUUGUGCUGAAGGCUUCAUUUCCGGAAAUCACUUAAAACGACACAUGAAAAUCCACCAAAAUGAGCUUCCUUACGCUUGUGGGAUUUGUAAACAGGAGUUCGGGAAGCGCAGUGAUUUUGUUAAACACGGGAAUACAGUUCACAACGGUAAUAUUAUUGAUGAUAUCAGAACGAAGGAAAAUACUCCAGUAGAGAACCGUUCAGCUACUUCUGAGGAAGAGAAUACUGUUGAUAAGUAUACAACUAUACUAGUUGAGGAUAACGAGAGAAUAUUACUAAGUAAUGGAUCUGAAGAGUUGCUUAAUGCCCCUAGCGGGGGCUACACCAACUUCCCUCAAAGCAUUCAAGUAAGCAAGUAUCUGCCGGUCACUCUUCUGAAUGGACUGGAGGAGGAGGAUGGUAAGGAGGAGUCGGACCAAACCAUAGUCUUCAUAGAGAUGCCGCAGAGCAACUAUAUGGAGGUGGAAUUAGAGGAGGAAGGGGAGGGAUAGAACGGAAACUUGAACAAGAUCUGAUUUUCGCUAAUAUCUGUCUGUGUUACAAUAUUCCAACUAGUGAUUUUAAAUGGAAUACAGGGGCUUAUAAAUCGCAUUUAUUAGACUAAUGUUUUACCGCAAUUUUUACAAGAUGCCACAUUUUCUUGUUGCUAAUAACCAAAGGAGAAAUUUUAACUUUUAUAUCUAAUUAUAUUUCAGAA
rnacentral:misc_RNA from 1 species